CGGCUUGGCGCAGCUUCUUAUCCAUCUCCGCAGCUGUCCCGCGCCGCCGCGAAUCCCCAUCGCCGCCGCCGGAGCCCGCCGCGUCCCCCACUCCCGCCCGCCUCCCCCGGUGGCCGGUGCCCCCGUUCCCGCGAGUCCGAGCCCCUGAUGCCGGCCGCCGUGCCCCCACCCGCCACUGCCCCAGGCGCAACCAUUGCCGCCUCCCUGGCCGGCCACCCUCCCCGGCGCCCUGCGGCGUCGCCCGCGGCCGCUUCCCCUCCGCCGCCGCUGCCCCGCCCGUGGCCGGGUGCGCCGCUGCCGCCUCCCUGUCCGGCCGCGGGUGUCCUCAGAGCAGGCUUCACAUGCCGAUGGCUUCAAGUCCAGCGGCCUGACUAACAACCUCUUCGACGGCCUCAGGUUCCUGAAGAGCGCACAGACGGUGGUCGUUGUUCCUAUGGCCUGCAUUGUCAGUGAAAUCAUCACAGAGUUUCACGUCUGCUGAUUCGACCACGACGCUGGUGCUGCCUCUGUUUGUUGAAUUGGCCAGGAUCACAGAUUUACCACAGGAUGAGGCAGGCUGAUAGUCUGUUGUUUUACCAGUGAGAACUGAAGACUGAAGAGGAGGCUACUGAGCUCUGAAAUCUGAUGUUUUAACAAUGCAAAUGUUUAGUCCUGCCUGACGCUGGCUGUGAGGAUGAUAUUGUUCAUGCUUGUGAACCGGAUGUAGAGUGUAGUUAGAAAUUGUACAAUGUAUGGACGCAGAUGGCUCGAGGAAGGAUCUAAGCAUGCUGUUGUGGCCUAAUGCUUCUGGCCAACUGCAGAGAGUACCAAAGAUGAAGUCUCUUGAUGCUUCUGGUCUGAUGUAUAUAGUGUAGGGCUCAAAUUGUACAAUGUAUGGGUGUAUUACAAAAGAUAGAUUAUUCUGAAAUAAAUAUGGAUGUUCUUGAACA